rnacentral:rRNA from 1 species
UACGUAGGGUGCAAGCGUUGUCCGGAAUUAUUGGGCGUAAAGAGCUCGUAGGCGGUCUGUCGCGUCUGCUGUGAAAAUCCAGGGCUCAACCCUGGACCUGCAGUGGGUACGGGCAGACUAGAGUGCGGUAGGGGAGAUCGGAAUUCCUGGUGUAGCGGUGAAAUGCGUAGAUAUCGAGAGGAACACCUGCGGCGAAGGCGGGUUGCUGGGCUGACACUGACGCUGAUGCGCGAAAGCCAGGGGAGCGAACGGG